ACAUCCUCUUCUCAGCUGUUUCUUUCUUCUUCCACUUCGACACAACUGCUUGCUGUUGCUACUUUAUCUCUCCAACCAACCAGCUGGUUAGUUAGCGCAGUAAACUAGUACUUAACGAAUUGAAGAAGCUGCUGGUGUGUGAAAGUAGCUGUCACUCACCGUCGCACUGAACAGCACUUUACGAGGAAUGAGUAAAUGCGACACGGCAUUGUGCGGACGGCUUUGAUUGAGGGUGAGCCGUGAUUAAUAACGCUUGACAGGGUUUCAUGAAAACGCCGUUGUUGUUGUUUUGCCCCAUCGUCACACGCAGUGCGAAGAAAGUCUGACUGGCCGCUGAUUGGCUGACGAGCUGCGGUCUGUGUGGCAACCGCGAACACGUGACCAGGUUGCGCGCGGAUUGGCUUCACCAGGUGUCAGUUGUGGGAAUUUGGGGAACAUCUGUGUACACCAUUGCAUGUAAAAACCGAGAGACCAGAAAACGGCGCAAACCUGGGGACUGCAUUCCUCCCAUAAACAGCACCUCGCUGGGGAGGUGUCACUGAUCAUAUCUUAGUCCAUUCAACAGGCUAAAAAAACCAAAUAUAUGUAGGUUGUGAUACCUAUAUAGAUAUACAAGCACCACAACUUAAAAACUAAAGUAUUUUUUUCUGAAUUCUGAUGAGUAUGACUGCAACUAUCUUAUCAAAUAACCUCAUUAUUAUUAACUUAAUACUUAUAUGAGCAAGGGACCAGAAAAUGGAAACCUUUAGGCUAAGCCCUUGCCAUAAACCUCAUCUUAUUUCAUCGGCGUAACUUUGUGCUGAACAUUGGGGGGUCAAGAUCUCUGUCUAAAUAAAUAAAUAAAUCUGGGUAAAUUCCCAGAUGAUUAAACAUGCAUAAAUAGUCUGUUGAUUUUCUUCACUCAUUUCAGUUAUUACCAGCAAAAUAAUUGCAAGAUAAUUCAUAAUUUUAUUGGGAGGGGGUUAUAUUGGUUGGGUCUGAUUAUUGGGGGAAGGGGGGUCAUAACCCCCCUGGAAAUUACCCCCCUGUCUUAUUUUAAAGUUGUGGUCAGAAGUUUGCAUACAGGUGCGACUGUUAAAAAUAAUUUGGGGCUUUUAGUGAUUUCUUUCAACUGUUCUUUUUCCAGGAUGGAGCGAUUGCACAGCGCACAUGUAACAACUUAAAAAAAAAACACAAAUUGGUUUACAUUUGUUUUUAAUUUUCUCUUAUCCAUAAGGUCAGAAGUAUACACACAGCUUAAAUAUAAAUACACUAUAACAUACCCUCGAUAUAGUUGUUUUGGUCCGCAACGAAGUGCGAUUACUGAGUUCACACCUGCACCAAGGAUGAAAAUGUACCAGUGUUGCUGCGAUGAGAGGAAAUGGGUUAGGGUUUUCAGGAACAACCCAGGAACCACCAAGGAUGCAGCCUGUCACAAACUGGAAACUGCUCAAACCCGAGUGUCACUG
ensembl:lncRNA